rnacentral:rRNA from 1 species
UACGGAGGGUGCAAGCGUUAUCCGGAUUUACUGGGCGUAAAGGGCGCGUAGGCGGCUUAACAAGUCACUUGUGAAAUCUCCGGGCUUAACUCGGAACGGCCAAGUGAAACUGUCAAGCUAGAGUGCAGAAGGGGCAAUCGGAAUUCUUGGUGUAGCGGUGAAAUGCGUAGAUAUCAAGAGGAACACCUGAGGUGAAGACGGGUUGCUGGGGCUGACACUGACGCUGAGGCGCG